GGGGAGCAGCAAACAGGAUUAGAUACCCUGGUAGUCCACGCUGUAAACGAUGAGUACUAGGUGUCGGGGGUUACCCCCUUCGGUGCCGCAGCUAACGCAUUAAGUACUCCGCCUGGGAAGUACGCUCGCAAGAGUGAAACUCAAAGGAAUUGGGGACCCGCACAAGUAGCGGAGCAUGUGGUUUAAUUCGAAGCAACGCGAAG
rnacentral:rRNA from 1 species